rnacentral:sRNA from 1 species
CUUCUUCUUCAACGUGGGGCCAGCAGUCCAAUACAACAGCAUGUCAGUCCCAGGCCACGCUGUCGUUGGCUGAAAUCCAAAAACUAGAGGAAGAACGAGAACGGCAGCUUCGAGAAGAGGAAUCCUCAGCUAGCUUCUAUUUUUAUGCAACAGCAAAGGCGCCAGCAGAGGGAGUUGAUGAAAGCUCUUCAGCAGCAGCAGCAGCAGCAACAGCAGAAACUCUCAGGUUGGGGGAAUGUCAGCAAACCUUCAGGUACCACGAAAUCUCUUCUGGAGAUCCAGCAGGAAGAGGCCAGGCAAAUGCAAAAGCAGCAGCAGCAGCAGCAGCAGCACCAGCAACCAAACAGAGCUCGUAACAAUACGCAUUCCAACCUGCACACCAGCAUUGGGAAUUCUGUUUGGGGCUCUAUAAAUACUGGUCCUCCUAACCAGUGGGCAUCUGACCUAGUCAGUAGUAUUUGGAGUAAUGCUGACACUAAAAACUCCAACAUGGGAUUCUGGGAUGAUGCAGUGAAAGACGUGGGACCUAGGAAUUCAAC